GCUUAAGUGACUCAGAAUCCAAGAAGC
rnacentral:piRNA from 1 species